rnacentral:rRNA from 1 species
GAUGAACGCUGGCGGCGUGCUUAACACAUGCAAGUCGAACGGAAAGGCCCAAGCUUGCUUGGGUACUCGAGUGGCGAACGGGUGAGUAACACGUGGGUGAUCUGCCCUGCACUCCGGGAUAAGCCUGGGAAACUGGGUCUAAUACCGGAUAGGACCACUUCUUGGAUGUUGUGGUGGAAAGUUUUUUCGGUGUGGGAUGAGCUCGCGGCCUAUCAGCUUGUUGGUGGGGUAAUGGCCUACCAAGGCGUCGACGGGUAGCCGGCCUGAGAGGGUGUACGGCCACAUUGGGACUGAGAUACGGCCCAGACUCCUACGGGAGGCAGCAGUGGGGAAUAUUGCACAAUGGGCGCAAGCCUGAUGCAGCGACGCCGCGUGGGGGAUGACGGCCUUCGGGUUGUAAACUCCUUUCGCUAGGGACGAAGCGUUUUGUGACGGUACCUGGAGAAGAAGCACCGGCUAACUACGUG